AAAGUAGAGGUCGCGCUGAUUAUGAGUACAUUGCCGGAUGUGCCGGACACAAAAGAAGGCAGUGGAAAGGGAGAAGCGCCGAAGGAUGAAAGCGCCGGAGCUUUCACCCUGGGCAUAUGGUGAACAGCCAUGUGACUGUCAUCCGUCAGGAUGGAGAGCUACUA
rnacentral:ncRNA from 1 species